CCCUUAGAUGUUCUGGGCUGCACACGUGCUACACUGGCAGGUUCAGCGAGCUUCAUGCCCUGAUCUGAAAGGAAUGGGAAAUCUUUUCAAAACCUGCCGUGCUUGUGAUAGAUGUUUGCAAUUAUUCAUCUUCAACGAGGAUUGCCUUGUAAGCGCACGUCAUCAGCGUGCAUUGAAUACGACCCUGUAUUCUGUACACACCGCCCGUCGCUCCUACCGAUUGAAGUUUUCGGUGAGUUGACAGGAGGAUUUUUUUGAAACUGGUUCGCCAGUGGAUUUUAGAUCCAAAUGCCAACGAAUCGAUGGCUUUAGAGGAAGGAGAAGUCGUAACA
rnacentral:rRNA from 1 species